ensembl:miRNA
UUAGGUUGGUGCAAAAGCAAUUGUGGUUUUUGCCAUUGAAAGUAAUGGCAAGAGCAUCAAUUACUUUUGCAUCACCCUAAUAAAA